GCCAGCAGCCAUAUCACUCUGCAACUCACAACUGGCAGCCCACUGAAGCUAAGCAGGUGUGAGCCUGGUCAGUACCUGGAUGGGAAAUCUCUUUGGAAAAACUAAGGUUGCUGCUGGAA
rnacentral:rRNA from 1 species